rnacentral:lncRNA from 1 species
UUGAUAGCCAUGCAUGGCAGGUGAGCAUUUUAUAUAAAGCAUGAAGUCUCUGAUGGAGGAUCUAUCCAUUCAAGGCUAAAUUCCCCAGGGGUGACUGAAUACAGGACCUGAGCCCUAGGACCAUGCCUCAGGACUACCUGGCAUGAUGACUCCUUGCUGUCCCCAGUCCACCUGGCCGUGCUGCUGCUCCAGUUUCAACUGUUCUGCCUGUGGCUAUGGAACCCUGACCUAUUCACCGGACGUGCUACCUGUCCCAGACCUGCUGUUUUCAACUCUUUAGAGACAGCAGGAGCGGUAGAGAUACUCUCAAUGAUCGGCUAUGAAAAAGCCAACUGACAUUUACUCUUGAGGUGCUGACUUGUUGCACCCUCGACAACUACUGUGAUUAUUAUUAUUUGACCAUGCUGGUCAUUUAUGAACAUUUGAACAUCUUGGCCAUGUUCUGUUAUAAUCUCCACCCGGCACAGCCAGAAGAGGACUGGCCACCCCUCAUAGCCUGGUUCCUCUCUAGGUUUCUUCCUAGGUUUUGGCCUUCUAGGGAGUUUUUCCUAGCCACCGUGCUUCUACACCUGCAUUGCUCACGGUUUGGGGUUUUAGGCUGGGUUUCUGUACAGCACUUUGAGAUACCAGCUGAUGUAAGAAGGGCUAUAUAAAUACAUUUGAUUUGAUUAGUUAAUUGAAUUUAUAAAAUAAUAGUCUAACACAUUAAUGACAGCAAAUACACAGGUGGACGUCCUUACUCAACAUUGACAGGAGAGUUUCAAACACAAAACUAUGAUUAAAUUGACAAAACUCGUAAAUGGAAUGGAAUAAACCAAAACUUGUGAGUUCUGCAAAACACAUGGCCGCUCCGACAUUGAGAACGGUAAAUGACUGU